rnacentral:rRNA from 1 species
UCCUUGUCGGGUAAGUUCCGACCUGCACGAAUGGCGUAACGACUUCUCAACUGUCUCAACCAUAGACUCGGCGAAAUUGCACUACGAGUAAAGAUGCUCGUUACGCGCGGCAGGACGAAAAGACCCCGGGACCUUCACUAUAGCUUGGUAUUGGCGUUUGGUUCGGUUUGUGUAGGAUAGGUGGGAGACUGUGAAGCAGGCACGCCAGUGUUUGUGGAGUCAUCGUUGAAAUACCACUCUGAUCGUAUUGAACCUCUAACCUCGGACCGUAUAUCCGGUCCAGGGACAGUGCCUGGUGGGUAGUUUAACUGGGGCGGUUGCCUCCCAAAAUGUAACGGAGGCGCCCAAAGGUUCCCUCAACCUGGACGGCAAUCAGGUGUUGAGUGCAAGUGCACAAGGGAGCUUGACUGCGAGACCUACAAGUCAAGCAGGGACGAAAGUCGGGACUAGUGAUCCGGCACCUCUGAGUGGAAGGGGUGUCGCUCAACGGAUAAAAGGUACCCCGGGGAUAACAGGCUGAUCUUCCCCAAGAGUCCAUAUCGACGGGAUGGUUUGGCACCUCGAUGUCGGCUCGUCGCAUCCUGGGGCUGGAGCAGGUCCCAAGGGUUGGGCUGUUCGCCCAUUAAAGCGGCACGCGAGCUGGGUUUAGAACGUCGUGAGACAGUUCGGUCUCUAUCCGCCGCGCGCGUCAGAAACUUGAGGAAACCUGUCCCUAGUACGAGAGGACCGGGACGGACGAACCUCUGGUGUACCAGUUGUUCCACCAGGAGCACGGCUGGAUAGCUACGUUCGGACAGGAUAACCGCUGAAAGCAUCU